UACGGAGGGUGCGAGCGUUGUCCGGAAUCACUGGGCGUAAAGGGCGCGUAGGCGGCCUGGUAAGUAGGGGGUGAAAUCCUGCGGCUUAACCGCAGGGCUGCCUUCUAAACUGUCAGGCUCAAGCACGGUAGAGGCAGAUGGAAUUCCCGGUGUAGCGGUGGAAUGCGUAGAGAUCGGGAAGAACAUCAGUGGCGAAGGCGGUCUGCUGGGCCGUUGCUGACGCUGAGGCGCGACAGCGUGGGGAGCAAACAGG
rnacentral:rRNA from 1 species